rnacentral:tRNA from 1 species
GGCCUGAUGGUCUAGGGGUAUGAUUCUCGCUUUGGGUGCGAGAGGUCCCGGUUCAAAUCCCGGUCAGGCCC